rnacentral:lncRNA from 1 species
CAAUCACCACUCAUUCUUGGAAUAUUAUGAGCUGGAGGUUUUGCUAAGCAUGACAUAUAUUAUAAUUCAGUUUCCACAGCAACCUCAUGAAGUCUUGCUUGACAGGUUCAGGCUCUUUCUGUAGUUGAGGGAGACUAAAGGGGACAGAGAUUCAGCAAUAUGACAUGAAAAUCUUGCCGAGCACACAAGGCCAGCAAACUGUAUGGUUUGAGUGCUUGGACUAGAAACGUGUCUAUGACGUUCUUAUCAUCAGGCCCUCUUCACUGUCAUGGAAAUUUUAAGAGCCUUGUCUUCUUAUUUGGAGUUUCUCCUAUAUGUGCAUCAUUGCAUACAAUUAUGGAAGUUGUUCCCUGCAUAAGGGCAUUGCACAGAGAAGGUCUCCCUUCAGAGUUCCAGCCACAUAUUCCCCUUCUCAGCGGGAACCUGCCUAUGCUGUCUCACAGACACCAACGCUGAACUGGUGGUCUCUCCCACACAUUUACUCCUUUCCCAAAUAUUCACCAUUUUUCACCACAGUUUUGAUUACUACUUGUAUAUACAUGCAGACCUGCAUACACGUGUUCUUAUGUGAGGAAAUAUAUAAAAAUGUUUAUAUAUGUGUGUGUUUACACAUAUAAGGCAGAAGCCUUAGCAUUUUAUUUUGUGCUGUAUCUCUAGUGCCUGCAGUAGUGGCUGAUGUAAAACAGAUACUCAAUAAAUAUUUGUCAAAUGGACAAAUUUCCUGCUGGAACAAUAAUUGGGGCCAGAGCAAUGCAGUGUAUUGGUUGCUUAUAUCUUGGUC